ACUAUUGCGUAACGCCCCUUUCUCACCGCAAAAUAAAGUAUUACCAUAUAUAUAUGAUACAUGUGUGGUGCAAUAAAAGCUGACGAAUGUGCUACUUGUACGUCAAUGCAAUAAAACUAAACAAAUAUAUUUGCACAUUAGCAAUUAAUAUGAAAAUAGAAAAGAAAUGCAAGAAAAACAUUCUGUAUCAAGAACACACGGGACAAAGUAACAUGUUUAAACGUUGGACGAUCACUUUUUGUAAACAGGUGAUAUCUUUAAAACUCCUAUUGGAAAGUUCUGUUACUACCAGUUUGCUUGGUUUUGUUUGCGCAUGUCUAUUAAUGUACGUAUCAGGUAUCAGUUGUCCAGCAAUCCUAACCAUAGAGAUACUAAUAUAUAACACUAGAGGAGGCACCGCCAUUCAAAGGGCCGCGGAACUGUGUUGCAAAUUGAAGCCUAAUUUGCCAUGCAAGUUAUGUUGCCAGAUGAAAAAAAAAAACUAUUUUUUUUUGUAUUUGGUAAAAACUUUGAUUUAAUAAGUGGUAGCAUACGUUAGUAAAAUGUUAAAAAUUGUUUGAAACUUUUUUUUCGUUACAUCACAAUUAUAUAGAGAAAUACACGCAUGCAGCAUUUAACGGUGUGUAUUUUUGGUCAACACUAAUAGUGUAACAGUUACUAAGCCAACCCUUAUAUAUAUCUAUGAGGCAAUCGCAGAAAUUGUGAAUCAACAAAUUUUGUAUUUGAAGGAAUUGCAGGAUGGUGUUAUCAUGCGUUGCAUGGGGCUGCACCAAUAGAAAAACCAAGGAUUGUGCACUAAGUUUCCACAGGUCUGCUUAUAGUUGUUGUUGUAUAAACGGUUGACUGUGCUCUGGUUCAGAUUUAAUGAUAUAAAGAUACCCGAAUUUAACUGUAAUGAAUAAAGAUUAAAUAUUAAACAACGCUGUAUAGUGAAAAUAAAUGUAUGGCUGUAAUGGAAUGUACUUUCCCUUCAUUCCAAUCGUGAUCAUAAACAAUUACCCCAUUUUGUGUAUGCCAGUUGAAGCCAUUAACCCAUGCCAUAAGGUGUUUAUUAUUUUGUGACACAUGUUUUCCGUUAUAUAUACCUUGUUUUUUUUUGUAUUGGGAGACAGUACGGACGAAGUAGUUCCUGUGCUGUUUUCACUUUUGUCUCAAGCUUCGUACAAUAAACUGAGCUAGCUUACAAUGCAAUACAACGUCUUACAAUCAUGAUUUGUGGAGUCGGAUAGAAUGUAUGUUGGGGGAAAACAGCGAUAUUCACAUAGUAUUACACCCCCACAACAUUAUUAGUACAA